rnacentral:rRNA from 1 species
GAUGAACGCUGGCGGCGUGCCUAAUACAUGCAAGUCGAACGCUGGAGAUCUAGCUUGCUAGAUCGAAGGAGUGGCGAACGGGUGAGUAAUACAUAAGCAACCUACCCACGAAGACUGGGAUAAUCUCUGGAAACGGGGACUAAUACCGGAUAGGUAAUCGGAAGGCAUCUUCUGGUUAUUAAAGGUUAAAAACACUGGUGGAUGGGCUUAUGGCGCAUUAGUUAGUUGGUGAGGUAACGGCCCACCAAGACGAUGAUGCGUAGCCGGCCCGGGGGGGUGAACGGCCACAUGGGGACUGGGACACGGCCCAGACUCCUACGGGAGGCAGCAGUAGGGAAUUUUCGGCAAGGGGGGCAACCCUGACCGAGCAACGCCGCGUGAGGGAAGGCGGCCUUCGGGUUGUAAAGCUCUGUUGUAAGGGAAGAACGGUAGAUAGAGAAUAUCUAAGUGACGGUACCUUAACAGAAAGCCACGGCUAACUACGUG